AUCCUUUUGUAGUUCAUAAGGAUGACGAUUGGGUUUUCAUUCACAUGCGUGAGAUGUGCCUCCCACAAACCUUGUUACGAUGUCAGCACAUUACCCAUCUGAUG
ensembl:snoRNA